rnacentral:tRNA from 1 species
GUUGAGAUUAUUGAGUUGGUCUAAGGCACUAGAUUAAGGAUUUGGUUUUAAAGGGCGUGUGUUCAAAUCCCACUCUCAAUA